rnacentral:rRNA from 1 species
AGAGUUUGAUCCUGGCUCAGAAUCAACGCUGGCGGCGUGCCUAACACAUGCAAGUCGAACGAGAAAGUGGAGCAAUCCAUGAGUACAGUGGCGCACGGGUGAGUAACACGUGACUAACCUGCCUUCGAGUGGGGGAUAACCCCGGGAAACCGGGGCUAAUACCGCAUAACAUCCUCGGGCUGCAAUGCCUGGGGAGCAAA